rnacentral:rRNA from 1 species
GUCUCUCUUGAGUGGAUCCUGAGUACGACGGAGCACGUGAAAUUCCGUCGGAAUCUGGGAGGACCAUCUCCUAAGGCUAAAUACUCUCUAGUGACCGAUAGUGAACCAGUACCGUGAGGGAAAGGUGAAAAGCACCCCGGAAGGGGAGUGAAAUAGAACCUGAAACCGUGUGCUUACAAGUAGUCAGAGCCCGUUAAUGGGUGAUGGCGUGCCUUUUGUAGAAUGAACCGGCGAGUUACGAUUUGAUGCAAGGUUAAGCAGUAAAUGUGGAGCCGUAGCGAAAGCGAGUCUGAAUAGGGCGUUUAGUAUUUGGUCGUAGACCCGAAACCAGGUGAUCUACCCUUGGUCAGGUUGAAGUUCAGGUAACACUGAAUGGAGGACCGAACCGACUUACGUUGAAAAGUGAGCGGAUGAACUGAGGGUAGCGGAGAAAUUCCAAUCGAACCUGGAGAUAGCUGGUUCUCUCCGAAAUAGCUUUAGGGCUAGCCUCAAGUGAUGAUUAUUGGAGGUAGAGCACUGUUUGGACGAGGGGCCCCUCUCGGGUUACCGAAUUCAGACAAACUCCGAAUGCCAAUUAAUUUAACUUGGGAGUCAGAACAUGGGUGAUAAGGUCCGUGUUCGAAAGGGAAACAGCCCAGACCACCAGCUAAGGUCCCAAAAUAUAUGUUAAGUGGAAAAGGAUGUGGCGUUGCCCAGACAACUAGGAUGUUGGCUUAGAAGCAGCCAUCAUUUAAAGAGUGCGUAAUAGCUCACUAGUCGAGUGACACUGCGCCGAAAAUGUACCGGGGCUAAACAUAUUACCGAAGCUGUGGAUUGUCCUUUGGACAAUGGUAGGAGAGCGUUCUAAGGGCGUUGAAGCAUGAUCGUAAGGACAUGUGGAGCGCUUAGAAGUGAGAAUGCCGGUGUGAGUAGCGAAAGACGGGUGAGAAUCCCGUCCACCGAUUGACUAAGGUUUCCAGAGGAAGGCUCGUCCGCUCUGGGUUAGUCGGGUCCUAAGCUGAGGCCGACAGGCGUAGGCGAUGGAUAACAGGUUGAUAUUCCUGUACCACCUAUAAUCGUUUUAAUCGAUGGGGGGACGCAGUAGGAUAGGCGAAGCGUGCGAUUGGAUUGCACGUCUAAGCAGUAAGGCUGAGUAUUAGGCAAAUCCGGUACUCGUUAAGGCUGAGCAGUGAUGGGGAGAAGACAUUGUGUCUUCGAGUCGUUGAUUUCACACUGCCGAGAAAAGCCUCUAGAUAGAAAAUAGGUGCCCGUACCGCAAACCGACACAGGUAGUCAAGAUGAGAAUUCUAAGGUGAGCGAGCGAACUCUCGUUAAGGAACUCGGCAAAAUGACCCCGUAACUUCGGGAGAAGGGGUGCUCUUUAGGGUUAACGCCCAGAAGAGCCGCAGUGAAUAGGCCCAAGCGACUGUUUAUCAAAAACACAGGUCUCUGCUAAACCGUAAGGUGAUGUAUAGGGGCUGACGCCUGCCCGGUGCUGGAAGGUUAAGAGGAGUGGUUAGCUUCUGCGAAGCUACGAAUCGAAGCCCCAGUAAACGGCGGCCGUAACUAUAACGGUCCUAAGGUAGCGAAAUUCCUUGUCGGGUAAGUUCCGACCCGCACGAAAGGCGUAACGAUUUGGGCACUGUCUCAACGAGAGACUCGGUGAAAUCAUAGUACCUGUGAAGAUGCAGGUUACCCGCGACAGGACGGAAAGACCCCGUGGAGCUUUACUGUAGCCUGAUAUUGAAAUUCGGCACAGCUUGUACAGGAUAGGUAGGAGCCUUUGAAACGUGAGCGCUAGCUUACGUGGAGGCGCUGGUGGGAUACUACCCUAGCUGUGUUGGCUUUCUAACCCGCACCACUUAUCGUGGUGGGAGACAGUGUCAGGCGGGCAGUUUGACUGGGGCGGUCGCCUCCUAAAAGGUAACGGAGGCGCUCAAAGGUUCCCUCAGAAUGGUUGGAAAUCAUUCAUAGAGUGUAAAGGCAUAAGGGAGCUUGACUGCGAGACCUACAAGUCGAGCAGGGUCGAAAGACGGACUUAGUGAUCCGGUGGUUCCGCAUGGAAGGGCCAUCGCUCAACGGAUAAAAGCUACCCCGGGGAUAACAGGCUUAUCUCCCCCAAGAGUUCACAUCGACGGGGAGGUUUGGCACCUCGAUGUCGGCUCAUCGCAUCCUGGGGCUGUAGUCGGUCCCAAGGGUUGGGCUGUUCGCCCAUUAAAGCGGUACGCGAGCUGGGUUCAGAACGUCGUGAGACAGUUCGGUCCCUAUCCGUCGUGGGCGUAGGAAAUUUGAGAGGAGCUGUCCUUAGUACGAGAGGACCGGGAUGGACAUACCUCUGGUGUACCAGUUGUCGUGCCAACGGCAUAGCUGGGUAGCUAUGUGUGGACGGGAUAAGUGCUGAAAGCAUCUAAGCAUGAAGCCCCCCUCAAGAUGAGAUUUCCCAACUUCGGUUAUAAGAUCCCUCAAAGAUGAUGAGGUUAAUAGGUUCGAGGUGGAAGCAUGGUGACAU